CAGGGUUGUCCACUGAAUCCGACUUUACUUGGUCUAGUUAGUGAUUCCGAACGUCUUAUGAAGGCGCUACGUGGGGUGGUUGGCUGAGGUCUUUGGCCAUCCCGCUACUGUACGGAAGUGUGAGCUUUCUUUCUUCAAUCCCUCAGCAGAGCCCCGAAGGGCAGUUUAUCCUCCGUGGGCGUGGGCAUGGGUUGCGACCUGAUUUCCUGUUCACCUGACGACCUCGUUGUACUUGUGGAUGGCUGCCUCCUCCUUUCCUCCCUUCCUCGUUGUAUACCUUAUGGGAGGAUGUCUGAACCCCCUUCCUUUAACCCUCCUAAACACCACUUAUCCCUCUUGCCUGGUGGUUUUUCCAGCAACUGGGACGCAGUGGUGAUUACGACCCUUCUAUGGGUCUGGGCAACCCUUGCCGGUCACCCGAAGUAGAAGGCUUCUUCAAGGGCUACACCAAGUGGGCCGCCUCAGGGGGCGUAGUGGAGGUUUCCGCAACCCCCUUGAGCAGCUCUCUACUAAAUUCCGUGCCCUUGUGCUGCCUGGGCCAUGCAGGCCGGGGCCCGGGGGCGCAGGUUUGCUCUCCACGCGCCGUUACACCCCCCCCCAUCGGUCACUGCCCCCUCCAGCUUGAAGCUAUGCAUGGCGCAGUACGCGUGCAAACCCUGAUAGGCAAUUUCGGGGAUGUGCGUCCAAGCAUGUAAUUCUACAACACACUUCAAGCAAAUAGAGGAAUGCAUGUGAACCCCACGUGAACCAAAGUUUACCGUGUUCAAGAGCCAGGUAAAGCACCACCCAGCCCGGCACACAUGUGCGCCACCUUCUCAUUGCCUGGAUCCAUGGCAUAGUAAAGCCUGGUCCCGCUGGCGUCCAGCAUGGGGCUCAUGCUUACAACAUGUCAAUAAUAUUGAAUAUCCACCACGCAGCUGACGGGGACGUCCUUUUCG
rnacentral:lncRNA from 1 species